AAAGUUUUAGUAUAAUUUUAGUAUAGUUUAUUGUCAAUAAACAGGAGGAAACUUUAU
rnacentral:tRNA from 1 species